rnacentral:rRNA from 1 species
GACGAACGCUGGCGGCGUGCUUAACACAUGCAAGUCGAACGGAAAGGCCCUGCUUUUGUGGGGUGCUCGAGUGGCGAACGGGUGAGUAACACGUGAGUAACCUGCCCUUGACUUUGGGAUAACUUCAGGAAACUGGGGCUAAUACCGGAUAGGAGCUCCUGCUGCAUGGUGGGGGUUGGAAAGUUUCGGCGGUUGGGGAUGGACUCGCGGCUUAUCAGCUUGUUGGUGGGGUAGUGGCUUACCAAGGCUUUGACGGGUAGCCGGCCUGAGAGGGUGACCGGCCACAUGGGGGAUGAGAUACGGCCCAGACUCCUACGGGAGGCAGAAGUGGGGAAUAGUGCACAAUGGGCGGAAGCCUGAUGCAGCAACGCCGCGUGCGGGAUGACGGCCGUCGGGUUGUAAACCGCUUUCGCCGGUGACGAAGCGUGAGUGACGGUAAUGGGUAAAGAAGCACCGGCUAACUACGUG